rnacentral:rRNA from 1 species
GACGAUACAUAGCCGACCUGAGAGGGUGAUCGGCCACACUGGGACUGAGACACGGCCCAGACUCCUACGGGAGGCAGCAGUAGGGAAUCUUCGGCAAUGGGGGGAACCCUGACCGAGCAACGCCGCGUGAGUGAAGAAGGUUUUCGGAUCGUAAAGCUCUGUUGUUAAGGAAGAACGAGUGUGAGAAUGGAAAGUUCAUACUGUGACGGUACUUAACCAGAAAGGGACGGCUAACUACGUGCCAGCAGCCGCGGUAAUACGUAGGUCCCGAGCGUUGUCCGGAUUUAUUGGGCGUAAAGCGAGCGCAGGCGGUUAGAUAAGUCUGAAGUUAAAGGCAGUGGCUCAACCAUUGUAGGCUUUGGAAACUGUUUAACUUGAGUGCAGAAGGGGAGAGUGGAAUUCCAUGUGUAGCGGUGAAAUGCGUAGAUAUAUGGAGGAACACCGGUGGCGAAAGCGGCUCUCUGGUCUGUAACUGACGCUGAGGCUCGAAAGCGUGGGGAGCGAACAGGAUUAGAUACCCUGGUAGUCCACGCCGUAAACGAUGAGUGCUAGGUGUUAGGUCCUUUCCGGGACUUAGUGCCGCAGCUAACGCAUUAAGCACUCCGCCUGGGGAGUACGACCGCAAGGUUGAAACUCAAAGGAAUUGACGGG